UACGGGGGGAGCAAGCGUUGUUCGGAUUUACUGGGCGUAAAGGGCGCGUAGGCGGCCACGACAAGUCAGUUGUGAAAUCUCUGGGCUCAACUCAGAACGGUCAACUGAUACUGUCGGGCUAGAGUGCAGAAGGGGCAACUGGAAUUCUCGGUGUAGCGGUGAAAUGCGUAGAUAUCGAGAGGAACACCUGCGGCGAAGGCGGGUUGCUGGGCUGACACUGACGCUGAGGCGCGAAAGCUAGGGGAGCAAACGGG
rnacentral:rRNA from 1 species